rnacentral:rRNA from 1 species
GAUGAACGCUGGCGGCGUGCCUAAUACAUGCAAGUCGAGCGAACAGAUGAGGAGCUUGCUCCUCUGACGUUAGCGGCGGACGGGUGAGUAACACGUGGAUAACCUACCUAUAAGACUGGGAUAACUUCGGGAAACCGGAGCUAAUACCGGAGAAUAUAUUGAACCGCAUGGUUCAAUAGUGAAAGACGGUUUUGCUGUCACUUAUAGAUGGAUCCGCGCCGGAUUAGCUAGUUGGUAAGGUAACGGCUUACCAAGGCGACGAUGCGUAGCCGACCUGAGAGGGUGAUCGGCCACACUGGAACUGAGACACGGUCCAGACUCCUACGGGAGGCAGCAGUAGGGAAUCUUCCGCAAUGGGCGAAAGCCUGACGGAGCAACGCCGCGUGAGUGAUGAAGGUCUUCGGAUCGUAAAACUCUGUUAUUAGGGAAGAACAAAUGUGUAAGUAACUAUGCACGUCUUGACGGUACCUAAUCAGAAAGCCACGGCUAACUACGUG